UUGGAGCCCCGUAUUUGACUC
rnacentral:piRNA from 1 species